rnacentral:misc_RNA from 1 species
UUGAGUGAGGGUCUUGUGCCCAACCUCUCCACCCGUGAUUACCGAACCGUGUUGCUUCGGCGGGCCCGCCAUUGAGGCCGCCGGGGAGGGGGAUUCUUCCUGCUCUCGGGCCCGUGUCCGCCGGAGGCGAUUCAACUACUGCCGUGAGAUUGCUGUCUGAGUGUGGGAUGAAAUUAUUUA